GGAACUGGAGAGGAGGCAAGAUGCUGGCAUAGCUGUUGAACUGGGAACCUGCUAUGCCAACAUAUUGCCAUCUUUCCUG
rnacentral:pre_miRNA from 1 species